GUUUUAAGCGAAGCUGGUGAGGCAGCGUCGUGAAUAAAGUUUUCAUCCCAAGAAAAUAUGUAGCAAGAACAAGCAGGAACAGCAUACAGCUUAAAUCAUGGCUGAAAGAAAGUACCAUUCCGUCUGAUAGUUGAUCAUUGGCUAUUAUUUUCAUGAAUUGGCACAAUGAGCAAGAUAUCCUUUCCAUUUCAUUAUGACUUGUGAAUCUGUGACUGUAACAGUAAACCUUGGAAUGACACUAUAAAUCAAUUAGCGAUUUUAUAUUUUAUAUUUUAUUACUAUCGUCAACUAAUAAUAAAAUUUUGUUUUUGGAAUUAGCUGAUGUCGUUGGGCAAGAUGUGGUGAAUAAAGAUGAGCUUUCUUACAGCAAAUUUGUCUACAUGGAAGUUUGGCAUUUCUGAUGAUAAUUAUUUCCCCUAUCUCUACUAUUUCCUUUUUGUUUUUCACUGACCGAAUAGAAAAACCCUAACAUAAAUUUUUCCUUUUAAUUCACAUCACCACCAAUUAUUGCAUAUCUCCCCUGGCCUUUCCCCAACUAAGACAAGCCAAAGGAACAACAUGUAUUUUUAUAUGAAACUGCAAACAGAACCCUUAGAAGUGUCUUUUUCUUUGCUGAGAAACACAGCAUAUUCAAGAAACGGUACAAGAUUUCCUCACCAAUCAAGAUAAGCAAUUAUAACUUUAAAAGGAACACUCGGACCAACGAAGCCGAAAUCCAUAUAAACAAGAGAACAAAAGUAGAAAAACCAGGUGAAGAUAAAGUAAGCUUUGACAUGACAAGCAACACCACAAAUAAUACCAGUGACUUACAUUAAAGAAGGCUGGAAAAUGAUCAAUCUCUAGUCUCUGUUAUUAGGAAAGUUGUAUUUCAUGGGCCAGUAGAGACUAUUCUUACAAAAAGAAAACCUCUUAAGAAGCAGGAACCAUCUAGAACUGAUGACUCAGCAUCAAUCAGAGUCGUGUUAUGGGAAAAUGACAUCACAAAGAUAACUUCAGAUUCU